rnacentral:rRNA from 1 species
AAAGCAUCUAAGCGGGAAGCCCCUUCCAAGAUGAGAUCUCCCCGAGGCCUCGAGCCUCCUGAAGAGCCGUUCAAGACCAGGACGUUGAUAGGCCGGGUGUGUAAGCGCUGCGAGGCGUUGAGCUAACCGGUACUAAUUGCUCGUGCGGCUUGACUAUAUAACACCCAAG